CAAUGUUAAAGUUUGCUUCCUGUCGAAGGCUGGACCUUUUCCAGAUCUCUGGAGCCCUUUUCAGCUCAUUAGCAUUUGUGCUUGCCCUGGGGGAAGAAUCCACCAUUCCAGCUCAGGCAAUCAGCUGCCAGCUCCUCCCCUCUGUGAGCAAUGAUCCUUACUUCAGACCUUGCCUGAACAUUCUUCAUAGCACUUGCCUUCUUUUUCCUGAAAUCAAGGGUGUGUGGACCACCUGGGGAUCUCCAUUCCCACACACAGCAUCCUCUCCCACUGAGGCCAGACAUGGCAGUCCAUUAAGGGAACAGAUUCCAAAGAUAGGCAGCAGCUUUAUGGCCAGUCAGUGCUACAGUUAUUGGAGGACCCUCAUGAAAACUGAGCUGCACAUCUGCUACCUACAUGUCAGGGGCCUUAGUCCAGCCUGUGUAUCCUAUUUGGAUGCAGUGACUUAUGAUGCUGUGCAUGUGAACUUUCCUAGGGAAGAGUAGAAUUUGCUGGAUCCUUCCUAGAAGAGUCUCUACAAAGAUGUGAUGCAGGAAACCUACUUGGACCUCACUGUUAUAGGCCACACUUGGGAAGACUAUCAUAUUGAAGGACAUUGUCAAAGUUUGAGAAGACAUGAAAGGUAAUCUUCAUGUGCACUCUGAUACGCAUAUGGCUCUGAGGAAAUUUUAAUAUGUUCUGGAAGCUCUAAAGAAAAGCAAGAGUGCCGGGCAGUAGUGGCGGACACCUUUAAUCCCAGCACUUGGGAGGAAGAAGCAACACAGAAAAACCUGAGAAAAGUGGCUCAGGACAGGACCCUGGCGAUUCAAGAAUAGAAACCAACCUCAGAGGAGGAAUCUGACUCAGAAAAUAAAUUCACAUAACAUUGUGAAUAUAAAGGGCUUGCUGUGUGCAUUUAAAGAGGAGCCAGUCCACAGGACCCCCUGAAAAACAUGAAAAGGCAGUAAAAGAUUCUGACAGAUUGUAAAAGGUCACAAAAGACCUGAAAUUGGCAAAACAGAUUUCAUUUUUAUUAGAAGUACCUCCAUUGAUUUAGAAAAAUAGAGGUGCACAAUGCUCUGGCCACACCUCGAACCUGUGUGUCUGCCAAUGUUGUGACCGUUCCUUGAACCCAGGUGUGACCCACUGC
rnacentral:lncRNA from 1 species